rnacentral:rRNA from 1 species
UACAGAGGUGGCAAGCGUUGUUCGGAAUUACUGGGCGUAAAGGGCGCGUAGGCGGCCUUCUAAGUCAGACGUGAAAUCCCCCGGCUUAACCUGGGAACUGCGUCUGAUACUGGAGGGCUUGAGUGCGGGAGAGGGAUGUGGAAUUCCAGGUGUAGCGGUGAAAUGCGUAGAUAUCGAGAGGAACACCUGCGGCGAAGGCGGGUUGCUGGGCUGACACUGACGCUGAAGCGCGAAAGCUAGGGGAGCGAACGGG